UGGGGAAUAUUGGGCAAUGGGCGCAAGCCUGACCCAGCAACGCCGCGUGAAGGAAGAAGGCUUUCGGGUUGUAAACUUCUUUUAUUCGGGACGAAAUAAAUGACGGUACCGAAUGAAUAAGCCACGGCUAACUACGUGCCAGCAGCCGCGGUAAUACGUAGGUGGCAAGCGUUAUCCGGAUUUACUGGGUGUAAAGGGCGUGUAGGCGGGAUAGCAAGUCAGAUGUGAAAACUAUGGGCUCAACCCAUAGCCUGCAUUUGAAACUGUUGUUCUUGAGUGAUGGAGAGGCAGGCGGAAUUCCGUGUGUAGCGGUGAAAUGCGUAGAUAUACGGAGGAACACCAGUGGCGAAGGCGGCCUGCUGGACAUUAACUGACGCUGAGGCGCGAAAGCGUGGGGAGCAAACAGG
rnacentral:rRNA from 2 species